UUGGAAAGAGAAAUGUUGAGAGAUAUCAUUCAAAUAACAGUAAUUUACAAACAAAUUGCUUGUUAGACUUCAGAGCUUCUGAAUCUUAAUAAGAACAUUAACUCAUAAACCAUGUUUGGAGCUUGUGAUUGCAUGAAUUACAUUAACACUGAACUAGUUUAGAUAAAUGACAGUAUUAUUUUCUUCAGUAUUACAGUAUUAUUUUCUUCUUUUUGUGCAUCUACUGAUGGUUUUAAAAAAGUCACGAAAUUUCAAACAUACAAGUACACACAAAUGCAUUUCCAUUUCAGUUUUCAGUUUUCCCUAUAUAGAACAUGCUCCAUUUUGUUCAUUUACGGGACUGAAUGCACAGAUAACAUGGAAAGCUACUGAUUGAUACAACUAUGCAAAUACCAAUUAGAAAAGAGCCAAGCAACUCAAAUUAAUGCUACACAGUCUCCCAGGCUUCUUGAAAGACCCGAGCAAGGUCAUUUGGCCUCUAGGUCUUAUCAAUAGAAAGGAGCUAAUAAUAAAUCUCAGUUCCAUGAGGCCACUGUGGAUCUUGUGUUUUUCACAAGUCCCCAAUAGAAAGCUCAGUCCACAUAAGUGGAAAGGAAUGUUAUUAGCACACUUGCUUCACAAGUCUUCUCUGCUCUUCCUCCCCAAAGCUGAAGAUACUAAGACAAGAGCUACAGUUCACAGAAAGAAAGCAGACAGCGUCCCUUUAUAAAUGGGAGUAUGCAGCUGCAUUGCUCUCAGGAUAAAGGCAUCAAUUUUAUUCCUCUCUGUGGAAUGAAGUCUAAUUAUACAGGGCAAGACAUAGAGACCCUACUGCAAGUGUCCUAAGAAGAAUGCCCUCCCAUUUUACUGAAUAAGGGGCCUUCAACCCUUUCCACUGAUAAACCAUUAGCAGCCCAGCUCAUUUGGAAGCCCCUGUCUACUAUCCUAUAGAUCCUUGUCCAGUGCAAAGCAAAGGGAGGUCUUAGAAUCACAAAGCCGUUACUAUGGUAGCCGUCCUUCUCACCCACAUUCCCACCAUUAUGGAAUUAUCCCUUUCUGAAAUGUCCUGUUGUGUCUGUAGCACUAGAUUUCCCCUCCCCUUCUGCAAUACUCUCCAAGACCUCUAAGGCAGCCAGAGGACUCCAAAGGCACAGUGUAAAAGGCAGAGGUCCAAAGAGAGAGGCUUUAAUGAGCAGGGAAAACAUUGGAAUAUUCAUAAAUACAGUAACAAUUAGCAACUCCCUCCCCCAACAGCUUAGCUGGAAUUAAAAGUUUCAUUCACAACAGGCAUGUUAUCUCCCCUCCUCUUCUGUGAGCAAGAUGAUAAAGGAAUAUCACACCUAGCAGAACUCUAUAUAGUGCAGCUCCCUUUUCACUGAACGUCCUACAGUCAACCCCUGAUGGAACUUUUCACAGCGGUGUUCUUUUUCCUAAAUUUGCUGGUGUUAUAAAGAGCUCAAAAGUUUUCAUCACAACUCGAUCGGACUGCAAGCAAACUGCAAGAGGUAAGAGCUUUGGUAUCAGAGUGGGCAACAUUUAUUAGCCUAGAAAAUACAGCAUCUCCUAACUUGCAUUGGUGUUUCCAAACAAACAGUUUCUGUUAUUACUGUUCAAAAGGUGCUGUCUAUAAUGAUAAGAACACAGUUGGGUGUUCUAUUUAAUAUUACUAGAUGUAUCCAUAACAGAAGAUUGCUAAUUAAAUAUUACAUUUAUAAAUGAAUUACCCGAGUUACAACAAAUUGAUACAAGUUUAUUUUUUAAUUUUCAUAAUACUCAUAAGAGUAUUAUGAAGUAUCAUUCACUUUGGAAGAAUGAAAAAUGAAAACCGUUGCUGUUCUAAGAAAAUAGAAUAGCUGUGAUUUCUAAUGUAUUUUUAAGACAAUUAGCUAUGAUUCCCUUAAGAAACUAGAGAAUUGAAUACAAACAAAAGACAAUCUGCUGGGAAACUUGGGAAUGUUUGUUCAAGCUUCAUUAAGACAUAAAGUAAUCCUAUUUUUUUGCUGUAGAGGAAAUUAUUUUAUCUUUUUUGAAAUAUCUGGAACACUGUGGUCUAGUUGCAAAAUUAACAUUUGCAAUUAGUAUAAAGUAUUUUAAGUUCCAAGUAAUAUUAGAGUUAGAGCCAAAUAAUACUGAGUUUUCCAUUUAUAUGAUUUCUAUGCUUUUCAUUAUGUCUAAAGAUUUGAAUGAGAUUAACCAUAGGACCAGAAGCUUUUCCGGUAUUUAUAUCACUUUUAUUUACAAAGAUGUGUCUACAAAGCACUUUGAAUCAAACAAAUGGUGCAUGCAAUGCACAGUAUAUACCGCUUCUGUGGAACUUCAAGUGAAGGUAUUUAUAUACAUAUAUACAUAUAUGCAUAAAAACAUAAUAUUGCAUAUUAUGUAUGGGGAUAAUUAGGCUUGUGUACCUAUGACAAGUAGGGCAAUUAAUUGAAAUAUGGCUAACAAAAAAUUUUAAAAUAGAACAUUCUCUCCUAGAAUUGUACCUAAUUUUCAUGCAUAGUUUAUAAAAAGAAUGGCCACAAUUCUUGUGCCCAUAUAUAAUGUGUUUGUUUAUGCAUCUAAUUCUAGAAGAUCUCCCGAUUAUUUGGAGGUGGGUUUUUCAAAAGUCUGGGGAGGGGUUAUCAGACAACACCUAAUCAACAUCCAAUAGCAAGAAAAAACCCAGCAAGUUUUACUAGUUCAUAUAAUAAAUAAUAAAAUAUAGAUUUCUUGGUAUUGUAAUAUUUUCAUCCAGGUUUAUUUAUUUGAUAUUUCAGGCUCUCAUUGAAGACCAGUUGUGAGGAAUGAACAGCCAACCAGACUCUUCAGGCCUGUUAUUUAACAUUUCAAAUUCAGAGCAAUGUGGCAAAGAGAGUCACAUGGAAAACAUCCUUUUUGCUAUUUUCUACCUUCUCAAUUUCAUCCUAGCCUUUUUGGGCAAUGUUUUGGCACUCUGGCUCUUCAUUCGGGACCAAAAAUCAGAUACCCCUGCCAACGUUUUCCUGAUGCAUCUUGCUGUAGCAGAUCUGUUUUUUGUGCUCAUCUUACCAACUCGGUUGGUCUACCACUUUUCAGGCAAUCACUGGCCAUUUGGAGAGCUCCCUUGCCGACUCACAGGGUUUCUUUUCUACCUAAACAUGUAUGCGAGCAUCUACUUCCUCAUGUGCAUCAGUAUAGAUCGCUUCUUAGCUAUCGUGCAUCCUGUGAAGUCCCUCAAACUCCGCAGGUCACUCUAUGCUCAUUUGACCUGUGCCUUCCUGUGGGUUAUAGUUGCCGUGGCCAUGGCACCUCUUUUGAUCAGUGUGCAAACAGUUGAGAUGAAUAAUACCACCGUCUGCCUCCAACUCUACAGGGAGAAAGCAUCACGCCACGCUCUUGUCUCCCUGGCUGUCGCAUUCACUUUUCCAUUUUUUACUACAGUAACCUGCUAUUUACUGAUCAUACGAAGCCUGAAGAAGGGGCACCGCAUUGAAAAUCAUCUGAAGGAAAAAGCCAUCAAAAUGAUAAUCAUGGUUCUUACAAUCUUCUUGGUCUGCUUUGUGCCCUAUCAUGUCAACCGCUACAUUUAUAUCCUCAAUUAUGAUGGUGUGAAGACUUCUUGUGCAAUGCAGAGGAUCCUGGCACUUGGCAAUCGCAUUACUUCAUGCCUCACCAGCUUAAAUGGUGCCCUAGAUCCUGUCAUGUAUUUUUUUGUCGCUGAAAAGUUUCAAGAGGCUUUGUGUGGUUUGUUUUGCCCCAAAAGAGUUGCAAGAUUACCUUCAAGUUAUGAUGGGAAAACAAACGACAGCUCUUUAAGUGCUAAAUCUGAACUGUAAAAUACCUGAAAACAAAAAAGUUCCUUAAAAGAAAUUUGCUGUCCUGUACGAUUUGAUAUCCUAGAAAGUAGAAAUGCUUUUCUACAAAAACACAAGGCUAUACAACAAUCCUAACUGGGAAGGAGUAGUGAGGUGGUAGAUGGUGCCAUUUCGAAAGCCCUGCUAUUUCUAGUUGGCCAGAAUGGAUAGUAUCUCCCUUUUUUUUUUGCCUUUUCCGUAACAUUUUUAAUUUUUUGGGAUGGGUGAGUGGGGGGGAAUUACAGAGAUGAUAGUUACAAAGACUAUCAGGACACAUAAUUAUUUUGAUUUCCUGGAAUAUUCUUUUGAAUGUUACUAUCAGUGGAAAUAUUGCCAGUAAGAUUUUUCAUAAGCAUUCUUUGAAUCUACAGACAAUUAAAAGGCAACUUUACCUUAUCAUAACCAUUUCAAGAAUUAGAUCAGAUUGUGUGAAAUUAUAAAUCUUGUGAUAAUUGUUGCAUAGAAAAUAGCACCAAGUAAUAAUUCCAUUAGGAUAUAAAUUGAAAUUUUAGUGAACAAAAGUUUGGUAACUUCUCCAGAAAAUAAAUGUUCAUAGGUGAUGAAAAAAAUGACCAUUUAAAAUAUUAAAACAGUGGAUAGAGAAGUUUUAGUAAUACCCAGGUACUGUCCAAAUCCAAGUUGUUAAACAUUUACAUCUACAGUGCAAACUUUUGAGAGGUUUAUGAAUAUGGGGUUUAGUUUGAAACAAAUUUUAUAACUCUCUCACCAUCAUUGUAGAAGAAUACAAAAGCUGCUGAUGCUUUUUAUUACAUCUCAAGAUGAAUAAAUUACAAACAUCACAUUUGAACAAAGUGUUCCUUUUAAUUACAUCUUUGGCUGGAGAUACCAUUUUCAAUAGCAAUGAAUGCACAAACCACAAUUUAUUUUAUAUGCAGAUUUUUUAAUAUGACUGAAUAUGGUUAAUGCAUUCUUAGAAAGCUUGCUACAAAUCAUUAACUAAAUUCUCUUUAAUAAUGUAAGAUGUAAGUCCAGCUGGGCACUUAGCCCUACUUAGACUGAGUCUGCCAUAGUGUCUUAGAACAAUGAUGAUCUGAAGCUGGAGCAACUGAGCUUGCACAGCUACCUGCUUUACUUUGCCAGUGUAACUUUGCCGCAGUUCUAUCACAAGUUUGUACUAUCAUGUUUAUUAUCUUUCUACAUGAACCGCAGUGGCACAGUGGUUAGAGUGCAGUACUGCAGGCUACUUCUGCUGACUGCUGACUGCCUGCAAUUUGGCAGUUCAAAUCUCACCAGGCUGUUGACUCAGCCUUCAAUCCCUGCAAGGUGGGUAAAAUAAGGUUUUGGUUACUAUCUUUAAAGCGCUCCAUGGCUUAGGGCCAGGGUACUUACGGGACCGCCUACUGCUACCCCACGCCUCCCACCGACCCGUACGCUCACACAGAGAGGGACUUCUCAGGGUGCCGUCCGCCAAGCAAUGUCGGCUGGCGGCCCCCAGGGGAAGGUCCUUCUCUGUGGGGGCUCCUACCCUCUGGAACGAACUUCCCCCUAGCUUGCGUCAAUUGCCUGACCUCCGGACCUUUCGCCGCGAGCUGAAGACAUAUUUGUUUAUUCGCGCGGGACUGGCUUAAAUUUUAAAAUUUUAAUAUUUUAAUAGGGAUUGAAUUUUAAUUUAUAUUUAAUAUAAAUUUUAGGGGUUUUUAGGGGUUUUAAAUUUUUUGCCAAUUAUAUAAUAAGUUUUUUAAUUUCUGUUUUAGUUGUAAAUUGUCAAUGUUUUAUAUUGGCUGUGAACCGCCCUGAGUCCUUUGGGAGAAGGGCGGUAUAAAAAUCUAAUAAAUAAUAAUAAUAAUAAUAAAAAUAAAAUAGUUGGAGGCAAUAUGCUGACUGUAAACGGCUUAGAGAGGGCUGUAAAGCACUAUGAAGCGGUAUAUAAGUCUUAAGUGCUAUUGCUAUUGAUACAUUUCAGAUCCUAGUCAACUUUAUACUCUGCAUCUUAUAAGUUUUUAUGUUUUCCAGUAUGUUUAGAACAUAUGCACAUACAAGCUAAAUGUUUGGCUAAAACAGUGUAAAUUACUCCCAUUUACCAUUUAGUAGUUCAGUUCAGUUUUCUAAAUUGAAGUAUGCUGUGACCACAAAUACCUAAUAUCUACUAAAGGAAAAGCACAAGGACUGCCUUUAAUUUUUCUAAAAAUUAUUUUUAGUAAUCUAAACUUUAGUAGAAGAAAUAUAAAAUACAAAGAUAGGUUUGGAGAAUUCACAAACAAGAUGUUUAAUUUCCAAUAAUUAUUUUUAUUAAGGAAAAUAACAUAAAUGCUAAGAAUAGGCUAGAAAAUGGAAAGUUGCUGCAUGUAUUUUGAGACUAUUCUAUUUUGUUUUUUCCCCCAAAUUUUGCAUUUAUUGUUUUUUAUUUUUACUUUCUUUAUAUUCACAUUUGUACUUAAAAUGUAUAUUUAAAAAAUGUUAUAUUUCUUACAUAACUGAAAAUACAUUCAAAAGGAGAAUAAAGCAAUUUUGUUUAUACUGGUGCAAAAUUCUGUCUAUCCACCAACACUGUUGGUAAGUAUUAUUCAUCUUAAUAUAAUUAUUUAUAAAGAGGCUUAGCUACUUCCUGCCAUUUUGUCUAAAAGAAUUACCGUUUUGAGAAUGGCUGCCAAUACAUUCAAUCUCCAGACUUUUUAAAGACAUCUCUUCCUUUCCAUAACUUAUUACUAGCUUAUACAAUGCAUUCAACUUCACAUUUAGUUUCUAUGCCUAUAUCUGCUAACAUUUUAAUAUAUAAAAUGCAGAUACAGUUCUAUCUA